GGCACGCCUUAUACAUGCAAGUCGAACGAAGUAGCAAUACUUAGUGGCAGACGGGUGAGUAACAUGUGGGUAUCUUCCCUUUGGUGAGGAAUAACACGAGGAAACUUGUGCUAAUACCUCAUAAGUCUUUACGGAGAAAGCUUUAUGCGCCAAUGGAUGAGCCCGCACUUGAUUAGUUUGUUGGUGGGGUAAUGGCCUACCAAGACUUUGAUCAAUAGCUGAUUUGAGAGGAUGAUCAGCCACAUUGGGACUGAGACACGGCCCAAACUCCUACGGGAGGCAGCAGUAAGGAAUCUUGCACAAUGGAGGAAACUCUGAUGCAGCGAUGCCGCGUGAGUGAAGAAGGCCUUUGGGUUGUAAAGCUCUUUCGUCGGGGAAGAAAAUGACUGUACCCGAAUAAGAAGGUCCGGCUAACUUCGUGCCAGCAGCCGCGGUAAUACGAAGGGACCUAGCGUAGUUCGGAAUUACUGGGCUUAAAGAGUUCGUAGGUGGUUAAAAAAGUUGGUAGUGAAAUCCCAGAGCUUAACUCUGGAACUGCUAUCAAAACUUUUUAGCUAGAGUAUGAUAGAGGAAAGCAGAAUUUCUAGUGUAGAGGUGAAAUUCGUAGAUAUUAGAAAGAAUACCAAUUGCGAAGGCAGCUUUCUGGAUCAUCACUGACGCUGAGGAACGAAAGCAUGGGUAGCGAAGAGGAUUAGAUACCCUCGUAGUCCAUGCUGUAAACGAUGUGUGUUAGACGUUGGAAAUUUAUUUUCAGUGUCGCAGCGAAAGCGAUAAACACACCGCCUGGGGAGUACG
rnacentral:rRNA from 1 species